UACGGGGGUGCGAGCGUUGUCCGGAAUCACUGGGCGUAAAGGGCGCGUAGGUGGUGGCUUAAGCGUGCGGUGAAAGCUCGGGGCUCAACCCCGAGUCGGCCGUGCGAACUGGGCUCACUGGAGCAUAGUAGAGGCAGGUGGAAUUCCGGGUGUAGCGGUGGAAUGCGUAGAGAUCCGGAAGAACACCGGUGGCGAAGGCGGCCUGCUGGGCUAUGGCUGACACUGAGGCGCGGACAGCGUGGGGAGCAAACAGG
rnacentral:rRNA from 1 species